AGCGAACGCUGGCGGCAGGCCUAACACAUGCAAGUCGAGCGCCCCGCAAGGGGAGCGGCAGACGGGAGAGUAACACGUGGGAACGUACCUUUUGGUUCGGAACAACCCAGGGAAACUUGGGCUAAUACCGGAUAAGCCCUUACGGGGAAAGAUUUAUCGCCGAAGGAUCGGCCCGCGUCUGAUUAGCUAGUUGGUGGGGUAACGGCCCACCAAGGCGACGAUCAGUAACUGGUCUGAGAGGAUGAUCAGCCUCACUGGGACUGAGACACGGCCCAGACUCCUACGGGAGGCAGCAGUGGGGAAUAUUGGACAAUGGGCGCAAGCCUGAUCCAGCCAUGCCGCGUGGGUGAUGAAGGCCCUAGGGUUGUAAAGCCCUUUCGGCGGGGAAGAUAAUGACGGUACCCGCAGAAGAAGCCCCGGCUAACUUCGUGCCAGCCGCCGCCGUAA
rnacentral:rRNA from 1 species